GACGAACGCUGGCGGCGUGCUUAACACAUGCAAGUCGAACGGAAAGGCCCUGCUUUUGUGGGGUGCUCGAGUGGCGAACGGGUGAGUAACACGUGAGUAACCUGCCCUUGACUUUGGGAUAACUCCAGGAAACUGGGGCUAAUACCGGAUAGGAUCUCCUGCUGCAUGGGGGGGGUUGGAAAGUUUCGGCUGUUGGGGAUGGACUCGCGGCUUAUCAGCUUGUUGGUGGGGUAGGGGCUUACCAAGGCUUUGACGGGUAGCCGGCCUGAGAGGGUGACCGGCCACAUGGGGACUGAGGUACGGACCAGACUGCUACGGGAGGCAGCAGUGGGGAAUAUUGCACAAUGGGCGGAAGCCUGAUGCAGCAACGCCGCGUGCGGGAUGACGGCCUUCGGGUUGUAAACCGCUUUCGCCUGUGACGAAGCGUGAGUGACGGUAAUGGGUAAAGAAGCACCGGCUAACUACGUG
rnacentral:rRNA from 1 species